UACGUAGGGUGCGAGCGUUAAUCGGAAUUACUGGGCGUAAAGCGUGCGCAGGCGGUUUUGUAAGCCAGAUGUGAAAUCCCCGGGCUCAACCUGGGAAUGGCAUUUGGGACUGCAAGGCUCGAGUGCGGCAGAGGAGACUGGAAUUCCUGGUGUAGCAGUGAAAUGCGUAGAUAUCAGGAGGAAUACCGAUGGCGAAGGCAGGUCUCUGGGCUGACACUGACGCUGAGGAGCGAAAGCGUGGGGAGCGAACGGG
rnacentral:rRNA from 1 species